GAGUUUGAUCAUGGCUCAGGACGAACGCUGGCGGCGUGCUUAACACAUGCAAGUCAAGGGGUAGCAAUACCGCUGGCGCACGGGUGAGUAACGCGUAGAUUAUCUGCCCCUAUCUCCGGAAUAACAUCAAGAAAUUGGUGCUAAAAACGGAUGAGGCACAAUGUGUCAAAGGUAACGGAUAGGGAUGAGUCUGCGUCUGAUUAGCUAGUUGGUGAGGUAACGGCUCACCAAGGCGACGAUCAGUAGCUGGUCUGAGAGGACGAUCAGCCACACUGGAACUGAGACACGGUCCAGACUCCUACGGGAGGCAGCAGUGAGGAAUUUUGCACAAUGGAGGAAACUCUGAUGCAGCGACGCCGCGUGCGGGAUGAAGGGGCUUUGCCUUGUAAACCGCUGUCGGUGGGAAAAAAGUUCCCUCGGGGGACUGGGAUUGUACCACCAAAGGAAGGACCGGCUAACUACGUGCCAGCAGCCGCGGU
rnacentral:rRNA from 1 species